AUCCCCUCUGCUUGAAGGACAGUUUGGCAGAUGCAAGGCAUUAAAUCAAUCAGUUUCAAGAGAUGUUCAGGAGGAGACAGGUGAAUCUUGAACUGCCUGGGAUGCAAGAUGCCUGGCCAUGGAGUGGGAUUCACUACAGCAGGAAUGGAACACAAACUUAUCAGAAUAUAACCACAGCUAUGUGGAAGGCUGCUGUGAGACAAUAAAGAGGUCAUAGCCAGAAACAAUGAAAUGCUGAUUUAUGACAACUGUCCCUAAAAGCUUACAGAGUUGAGGAUGAUGGAGGAAAAUUAUCAGUGAAUAUUUAGGUAAAAGGAAUCUUUAUUGCAUAGGUGGCAUCAUUGCAUCUGCUGGUUGUUUUGUACAGAAUCUGCUUGGAAGAGAUUUGGUCUCCCUGUUCACUGCAGCAAACAGAAUUUGGCAUAAACAUUUGAAUGUACUCACUUAACUGCUGAUCCAUCUAUUGAAGUUUCAUUAGGGAGCCAUGUGCAUUUGCAAAGGAUGAAUGGUUUCAUUAGC